rnacentral:ncRNA from 1 species
UCGACGAGAUUUAAAAGGGAAUCAGGUGCAAAACCUGAGCAGUACCCGCUGCUGUAAGUCAUGCCAUCGAAUCAACCGGAAGACAAUGCUGCUGCAUUGAACCACAGUCAUUGAGGCACAACGCUUUGAGAAGACUUUUCUUUCGGGAAUAAUGACGAGCCAGAAGACCUGCCUGUUCCACUA